rnacentral:rRNA from 1 species
GGCAAGGGGGAGCAAUCCCCCCUAGAGCGGCGGACUGGUGAGUAACACGUGGGUGACCUGCCUUUGUCUUGGGGAUAGCCAUUAGAAAUAGUGGGUAAUACCGAAUACGCUUGCACACGUAGAGGUGUGUAAGGAAAGGCGCUACGGCGCCGGACGAAGAUGGGCCCGCGUCCCAUUAGCUAGUUGGUGAGGUAACGGCUCACCAAGGCGAUGAUGGGUAGGCGGCCUGAGAGGGUGUACGCCCACAUUGGGACUGAGAUACGGCCCAAACUCCUACGGGAGGCAGCAGCUAAGAAUAUUCCGCAAUGGACGAAAGUCUGACGGAGCGACGCCGCGUGGAUGACGAAGGCCGAAAGGUUGUAAAAUCCUUUUGCUGGGGAAGAAUAAGCAUGGGAGGGAAUGCCCGUGUGAUGACAUGAACCGGCGAAUAAGCCCCGGCUAACUACGUGCCAGCAGCCGCGGUAAUA